AUUGAACGCUGGCGGCAUGCCUUACACAUGCAAGUCGAACGGCAGCAUAGAGAGCUUGCUCUCUGAUGGCGAGUGGCGAACGGGUGAGUAAAGCAUCGGAACGUACCGUGUAGUGGGGGAUAACGUAGCGAAAGUUACGCUAAUACCGCAUACGCACUGAGGUGGAAAGAAGGGGAUCGCAAGACCUUGCGCUAUACGAGCGGCCGAUGUCAGAUUAGCUAGUUGGUAGGGUAAAGGCCUACCAAGGCGACGAUCUGUAGCGGGUCUGAGAGGAUGAUCCGCCAAACUGGGACUGAGACACGGCCCAGACUCCUACGGGAGGCAGCAGUGGGGAAUUUUGGACAAUGGGGGCAACCCUGAUCCAGCCAUGCCGCGUGAGUGAAGAAGGCCUUCGGGUUGUAAAGCUCUUUCGGCCGGGAAGAAAUCGCACAGGCUAAUACUCUGUGUGGAUGACGGUACCGGCAUAAGAAGCACCGGCUAACUACGUGCCAGCCGCCGCCGUAA
rnacentral:rRNA from 1 species